CACUGAGACCACCCAUUCGUCAGAUGUGGGUGGUGCGAACAGGUGCCAUAGGCGUAGCGUAGCGGAUGUACUCUCUCUCUCUCUCUCUCGUGUUUGCGGUUAUAUCUCGUGCGUGUGUUAAGUGUGCGUGUGUAUUUGUUAUUUUUUCCUCCUCUUCCUUCGAUCAUUGUCUCAGCGCGUCUAAUGUAAGUACCCCUAAUUGCUCGUCGUGGGACAUCGUCGUGGGACAUCGUCGCUGGAGCACCCCAUCGCCAUAGUAAGGAAAAGAAUACCGUUUCCUAGGGCGAUAGGAUGUCAUGUCGCUAACCACGCUUGCCUUCCAGGAACACUCAUUCCUUUUUGUAGACACUUCCAGAGCAGUGACUUGGAUUGUGUGUUUUAGCGGGGACGAGGCGGACACGUGUACUCGCAGUGAUGGGGACGCGGCGCCAGUAGAGCUCUGCAAUCCUCCUGGGUUGUGUGAGAUUGGCAGUUAAGAUCUUUGAGGUGACGCUGAUAUCGAAGCACGCGAAGUUGCAAGCUCGAGAAUGGCCAAAGUUGCACAGCCGUGAAUGUCGAGAUGCCAGUAACACGUUCCCACUACAGCAACAAUUAUUGAAAGUAAGAACACGAGGCUGUCGGGAAAGAUUCGAAUGACUGGUUACGGACGGUGGCGGAGGGGAUGGUGACUAGCUUGGUGACGAGGACUGCCCUACCACCCUUCCCUCGUCAGUCAUCACCGCUCGCCCUGCUGUUCCAUUGUUAUGUCAAAAGAUCAAUAUAGAAACCAUAUAAUGUCUUUGAAAAUAAAAAUGUUCAGGACU